rnacentral:rRNA from 1 species
GACGAACGCUGGCGGCGUGCCUAAUACAUGCAAGUUGAGCGCUGAAGGUUGGUACUUGUACCAACUGGAUGAGCAGCGAACGGGUGAGUAACGCGUGGGGAAUCUGCCUUUGAGCGGGGGACAACAUUUGGAAACGAAUGCUAAUACCGCAUAAAAACUUUAAACACAAGUUUUAAGUUUGAAAGAUGCAAUUGCAUCACUCAAAGAUGAUCCCGCGUUGUAUUAGCUAGUUGGUGGGGUAAAGGCUCACCAAGGCGAUGAUACAUAGCCGACCUGAGAGGGUGAUCGGCCACAUUGGGACUGAGACACGGCCCAAACUCCUACGGGAGGCAGCAGUAGGGAGUCUUCGGCAAUGGACGAAAGUCUGACCGAGCAACGCCGCGUGAGUGAAGAAGGUUUUCGGAUCGUAAAACUCUGUUGGUAGAGAAGAACGUUGGUGAGAGUGGAAAGCUCAUCAAGUGACGGUAACUACCCAGAAAGGGACGGCUAACUACGUGCCAGCCGCCGCAGUAA